GGGCCUAUAGCUCAAUGGUUAGAGCACGGGACUCAUAAUCCCUUGGUUCCAGGUUCGAGUCCUGGUGGGCCCACCA
rnacentral:tRNA from 2 species